AUGUGGUCACUCCCAACCCACCUACCCACAUUCAAAGUUGAAGUGAUCACACACAGCAUAAGAACUUUACUAGCUAAACUGCCUACCUCAGAAUCACUUACGCUGGCUCCGUUGUCUACACAGACCUACAUAGUGGACAUGCGUGCUUCUGAAGCCUCCAUAAUGACUUUGUUUUACCACCUCUCAGACCCCUCCAUCCACCCUGGCAACCAGUCUACAGUCACUGACAACAAAAGCCCCAGACCACUGCAUGAUACACAAAACAUGCUGCGUGCACAGAACAAUAUUGUGGGUGGUGCACCGUCUGACAUCACAAUGCCAGGGCGUGUAAUGCCACGGAGCAAAAGGGGGAUAAUGCCAAUAUAUUUCCACGACGCAGCAUGUGCUGCACCACGCAGCACCAGAGCCACUGACAAAACACUGAAGCAAGCGUCAUGCCAGCAGCAAGAUGUGGCUAAACAUGGGCGAGAGCGAGCUAAACCCAGUCGCCGCCCACAAAGCAAAGAGACUGUCCUGUCCAACCAAAGACAGGCCUUGUUUGUUUCUUUCUCCCCUUUCUCUCUCUCUCUCCCUAUUAUCUGUACCAGGAUGCUGCUGUGGUUUGCCGUGCCGUGCUGUCAGCCAAAGAGAGGACAGCUGCCACCGAGAAAACCGCUGAGACUCCUGACUACCGAUGACAGGGCACACUACCCCAGCACUGUAACCGAAUACAGCUGUACAAGGUUCCGAUGGAGAGAGGACUCCCUCGCUCACACUGAGGCCAAUGUCAAACACAUGUUCAGCCAACAUGAGAAAGUGACUGUUACACAAAUGGAGUUAAGUGGACACCACCACCGCUCCAAACAGUUCCCGGGAGCUUUGCUUAGAGCCGCUGCUGCCGCCAGAAUGUUUAACAUUGUUAUGUCCAGUGUCAAUGCAGCGAACCAGACUGUAAACUCCUUGAAACCACUGUUUACUGUCUUCCAGAAGAACUUUACCCAGACUCAGCUGUUUACAGCAUUAACAACAGACAUGCUGUGGGAGGUUAGCUCCUCCACUGACAGCCUAACCACGAGUAAAACCCCACCAUACAUGAUACCCUUAAGCCUUGUGUUAAUUGUGCUGUCUUACGCCAUCACCAUGCCAGCUGACCUGCUACAAAUACACCUGGCCAACGCUCUGGAUAGUGCCUUCCUACGGCACGUCAACCCCAAACAGAGAGAAGUGAACGUGCUCCUGAACCAGCCCAUCAGUGAGUCAAGCCAAGUCUACAGACCUAAAGACAUUGUCAGUGUCAGGAUGUGGAAAAGCAACACCCACACCAAGACACACAUUCCAAAUGUGGUGGCCUACCACGACAGCGACACACAGCUGUACCUGGCCCCAAACAUGCACAUGUGUACUUUGUCCAAAGACAUUCAUUAUCUCUGCCUUAGCAAACCCUUCCUCAGACACAACUCUGAAGGAAUCUGCGAGCUGCCACCCUGGGUCAGCGAUACGCGCUGCCCUGCCGAAGCCAAGACUCGUACACAAGUCACAGAAACGCAAGCAGAGAUUGUGGGUAACAGAUGGCUCGUCAACACUCCUGUGCGCUCCGCUACACUGACCUACGACCAGCAUGACACCGCCACCCAUGCCAACCUGCUUGACCAAGUACUGAAAGGUACCACCCAACACAUUGACAUUACUCCUGUCAACACAGCCCUCCAAGCACUGUCUCAAAAGCCCAUUCUGAACCAGUCAUCUGCGGUCCUAGCCUGGACUGCUGCCGACACUGCACGGUGCAUCUCCACCGUCAUUGGUCCCGCCCUGACUCGUAGCGUGACCUUCAUCCUAUACAGGAUACUCAAUGAGAUGCAAACCUCUACAGCCAAACUCACGACAACUGUGGCUGGAGGUCUCCGAUGGAAUCCCCGGAAAAGGGGUGCCCAGUCAAAGACAACACCGAACCUCAUCAAGCGGAGUCCUCAGCUUCAAGAACCACCUGCCAUCAUGACCAUCACGAUUCACCUGUCAUCUGCCUAUCCUGAUGAUUGCCGUCCGAUGAUGUCCACACAGGGACUUCAUCUGACGAAAGGGGGAGAUGACAGGUGA
ensembl:lncRNA